UACGAAGGGGGCUAGCGUUGUUCGGAAUUACUGGGCGUAAAGCGCACGUAGGCGGAUAUUUAAGUCAGGGGUGAAAUCCCAGAGCUCAACUCUGGAACUGCCUUUGAUACUGGGUAUCUUGAGUAUGGAAGAGGUAAGUGGAAUUGCGAGUGUAGAGGUGAAAUUCGUAGAUAUUCGCAGGAACACCAGUGGCGAAGGCGGCUUACUGGUCCAUUACGUGACGCUGAGGUGCGAAAGCGUGGGGAGCAAACAGGG
rnacentral:rRNA from 1 species